GCAUAACUGAAGAGUCCCAAAUAGGACGAAACAUGCGUCCUGGAC
rnacentral:hammerhead_ribozyme from 1 species